rnacentral:rRNA from 1 species
AGUGAACGCUGGCGGUACGCCUAACACAUGCAAGUCGAACGGCAGCACAGUAAGAGCUUGCUCUUACGGGUGGCGAGUGGCGGACGGGUGAGGAAUACAUCGGAAUCUACUUUUUCGUGGGGGAUAACGUAGGGAAACUUACGCUAAUACCGCAUACGACCUACGGGUGAAAGCAGGGGAUCUUCGGACCUUGCGCGAUUAAAUGAGCCGAUGUCGGAUUAGCUAGUUGGCGGGGUAAAGGCCCACCAAGGCGACGAUCCGUAGCUGGUCUGAGGGGAUGAUCAGCCACACUGGAACUGAGACACGGUCCAGACUCCUACGGGAGGCAGCAGUGGGGAAUAUUGGACAAUGGGCGCAAGCCUGAUCCAGCCAUACCGCGUGGGUGAAGAAGGCCUUCGGGUUGUAAAGCCCUUUUGUUGGGAAAGAAAAGCAGCAGGUUAAUACCCCGCUGUUCUGACGGUAACCAAAGAAUAAGCACCGGCUAACUUCGUG